UACUUUACAAUUAUUUAAUAGUAAACUCUGAUGAAUUAAAACAAGGAAAAGAAUCAUGCUUUUAGUUUUUUUUUUUAUUGCUUUGAUGGGUGGACGAGCUCACAGCCCACCUGGCGUUAAGUGGUUACUGGAGCCCAUGGACAUCUACAACGUAAAUGCGCCACCCACCUUGAGAUAUAAGUUCUAAGGUCUCAGUAUAGUUACAACGGCUGCCCGACCCUUCAAACCGAAACGCAUUACUGCUUCACGGCAGAAAUAGGCAGGGCGGUGGUACCUAUCCGCGCGGACUCACAAGAGGUCCUACCACCAGUAAAAAUUUAGAAUUAGUACACAGCUUAGUAAUUAAUUGAACUGCAUCGAGAAACCAGAAUGUAGUGGCUUCUGAACUACAUUACACAGAGUAUUAUAUGAUGUGUGACAGCAAAUAGCUUAAGGGGGUCAAGGGGUAACAAUUACGACUAAGUUGAGCAUCAACAUUUCUAACUACUUAUGAUAAAAAAAAAAAAUAACAUAGAAAAUCAAACCAUCACCGAAGCGUAUUUUCUGGGUGUUUUUGUUAAGAUAUGGAUUUAUGUAAGAGUUUAUGGCAUAUACAUAUUAUAUAUUAUGUAUAACGAUAGAACGUUAGUCCAAUUUUCGUAGACGUGAAAUCUGAUGAUCUAGAUUGAAAGAAGAAACUUCAACUUUAUUGAAUGGCGGAAUUUCAUCAGAUAUUUUUCAUUUUCAUUAUCAUUCAAUCAUUUCAUUAUUUUUCAUCAGAUAGCAGCUUGUCCGACUACGAUACAAAAAAAAUGAAAUACUAAAUGAAGAAGGACAGAUAGCUCUUUCAAGAUAAAAUAUGAACAUUUGUUAUCAAGAACAUAUUUAUAAGCCCAGUGGUAAUUCGCUUAAAUUUUAGUUGCCAAUUGAAUAUUGAAUAGUGAUUGUUGAAUUUAAGGCGCUAAAAAUAACACCAGCGAUGUCAGGACCAGGAGACAAAAAUAACCAGAAGCCAUUCCGCCCGCCUCCGUAUGAGAGGCCACAUGCUCCCCCGGACAACAACAAAGAUCGUGCGAGGGCAUGAAGCUCGAAGUUUUACACGUAGAAAGCAUCAGCUGUAGCAGGCGGAUCACUUAAGUUUAGUUCUCUGCGAAACAUCGUGCCACAUGGCGUCGCAUCGCGAGAGCAUCGGUAUCGCAGGAUCCGACUGAUGCAUGACCACAACCACUCUGUCAAGAGUGUACGAAUAGGAAGAAGUUUAGUUCGAAAAAAAUGAUGAUUCAUCGAACUGUUUUGAAAACUUAUAACUUUUAUUAUCACUGUGCUAAUUUUCUUCUGUAUGCUACCACUAAAAAUCCAAAUUUUAGACUAUGAUAACUUUUUUCAAAAUUAUUUUUCGAAGAUUUUUACUUUCCGAAAUUGUUUAUAAAAGUAUAUUGUGGAAUAUACAUUUGUAGUUGAUCAUUAAAUGUUAUCGAAAUAGACUGUAAUUUAACAUAUGAUUUUCAUUUCUGUAAUAAACAAUCUUGUUAGAUUAUUUUACCAUAGUUUUCAAAUUUAAAUGUAGAAUCUCAAAUAUGUAAUCAUUGUUAAAAAUACUAGUUUAGUUGUAAAUAAAAAUACUGUAGCUGGA